UUCAUUACAGCCGCGGCCUCUUCUCCAGUCUUCUCUCUUGUCUCUUCUCCCUCUUCUCUAGUUCUCUUCGCCUCUGUGAGACUGACUGUUUUCAAUCUUCAGUCUCCGCCUCUGUCUUCCUCCUUCUCUCACCUCUCAAUCCAGCACCUCUCAAUCCAUCGUUCACCAGAUUCGAAGCAACGGCGACCUCUGCGUAUCGAAGCAACGGCGACCUCCUCGACUGGAUCUACGUCUUUUUCGAUAAGCAUAUCAGCUUCUGUUCUAGAGGACCAGUAGGCGAACUGAGGAAGAUUUGAUCUCGUACAACUUGCAGCAAUACUAAUAGAUGAUGUCACCGUUCACCAUCGCCAUCCUUAUUCGUGGUCACUGGACUGUUUAGAGAUCUCUUAGUUAUACAAAACUAGGGCAUUACCAAGAGCAUUGCGAAAUGGGCUUGGCUUCAUCGCUUUAACUGGUUGGGCAGGGCGAAUGGACUAUGCUCCUGAACUAAUGGUUUUGGGUUAAGUUGACUAUUGCUGUGUUUGGCUCAAUUAUCAUUGGGCUUCUCUGGUUCAUUCUUAUUGGGCUUCCUUUGAGGCUUGUAAUUAUUUUCUAUAUUUGUAUAUACAAUUGCUUUACUUUCCAAAAAAAAAAAGUGUGCUUGCAACCAACCUUGCAUAAUCUCAUCUUACAAAUGGAAGAAUAAUCAAACUGUGCUGAGAGUAUAUAAGCAUAUCAAUCCUUGGUAAGAAGCAAUAGAUGUUUAAGAAGUUUAGCAGUUCUGUUAGUUUCAA